rnacentral:rRNA from 1 species
CACGUAGGGGGCAAGCGUUGUCCGGAUUUAUUGGGCGUAAAGAGCUCGUAGGCGGUUCGGUAAGUCGGGUGUGAAACCUCCAGGCUCAACCUGGAGUCGCCACUCGAUACUGCUGUGACUAGAGUCCGGUAGGGGAGCGUGGAAUCCUGGUGUAGCGGUGAAAUGCGCAGAUAUCAGGAGGAACACCAGCGGCGAAGGCGGCGCUCUGGGCCGGAACUGACGCUGAGACGCGAAAGCGUGGGGAGCGAACAGG